GCACGGCUCUCGGCAACGGAUAUCUCGGCCCUCGCCACGAUGAAGAACGUAGCGAAAUGCGAUACUUAGUGUGAAUUGCAGAAUCCCGUGAAUCAUCAAGUCUUUGAACGCAAGUUGCGCCCGAGGCUUCGGCCAAGGGCACGUCUGCCUGGGUGUCGUAU
rnacentral:rRNA from 1 species